GAUGAACGCUGGCGGCGUGCCUAAUACAUGCAAGUCGAGCGAACAGACGAGGAGCUUGCUCCUCUGACGUUAGCGGCGGACGGGUGAGUAACACGUGGAUAACCUACCUAUAAGACUGGGAUAACUUCGGGAAACCGGAGCUAAUACCGGAUAAUAUAUUGAACCGCAUGGUUCAAUAGUGAAAGACGGUUUUGCUGUCACUUAUAGAUGGAUCCGCGCCGCAUUAGCUAGUUGGUAAGGUAACGGCUUACCAAGGCAACGAUGCGUAGCCGACCUGAGAGGGUGAUCGGCCACACUGGAACUGAGACACGGUCCAGACUCCUACGGGAGGCAGCAGUAGAGAAUCUUCCGCAAAGGGCGAAAGCCUGACGGAGCACCGCCGCGUGAGUGAUGAAGGUCUUCGGAUCGUAAAACUCUGUUAUUAGGGAAGAACAAAUGUGUAAGUAACUAUGCACGUCUUGACGGUACCUAAUCAGAAAGCCACGGCUAACUCCGUG
rnacentral:rRNA from 1 species